rnacentral:rRNA from 1 species
UCAGGCCUAACACAUGCAAGUCGAGCGGGGUUUUCGGACCUAGCGGCGGACGGGUGAGUAAUGCGUAGGAAGCUACCCGACAGAGGGGGAUACCAGUUGGAAACGACUGUUAAUACCGCAUAAUGUCUACGGACCAAAGUGUGGGACCUUCGGGCCACAUGCUGUCGGAUGCGCCUACGUGGGAUUAGCUAGUUGGUGAGGUAAUGGCUCACCAAGGCGACGAUCUCUAGCUGGUUUGAGAGGAUGAUCAGCCACACUGGAACUGAGACACGGUCCAGACUCCUACGGGAGGCAGCAGUGGGGAAUAUUGGACAAUGGGCGCAAGCCUGAUCCAGACAGUGCCGCGUGUGUGAAGAAGGCCUUCGGG